rnacentral:rRNA from 1 species
UGGAUCACCCCCUGCAUGAGCCCGCGGCGGAUCAGCUAGUUGUUACCGAGAUGUCCCACCAAGGCGACGACGAGUAGCCGGCCUGAGAGGGUGACCGGCCACACUGGGCCUGAGACCCGGCCCAGACUCCUACGGGAGGCAGCAGUGGGGAAUAUUGCACAAUGGGAAAAAGCCUCGGCAGGACACCGCGCAUCAUGACGGCCUUUGAGGGACUUGGUCCCACAUAAGGGAAAGCCAGUAUUCCUUGGGGCUAAACCGGCCUAGCCCUUUUUAUA